rnacentral:rRNA from 1 species
AUGGGGGUGGUUGGAAAGUUUUUCGGUCAGGGAUGGGCUCGCGGCCUAUCAGCUUGUUGGUGGGGUGAUGGCCUACCAAGGCGACGACGGGUAGCCGGCCUGAGAGGGCGACCGGCCACACUGGGACUGAGACACGGCCCAGACUCCUACGGGAGGCAGCAGUGGGGAAUAUUGCACAAUGGGCGAAAGCCUGAUGCAGCGACGCCGCGUGAGGGAUGAAGGCCUUCGGGUUGUAAACCUCUUUCAGCAGGGAAGAAGCGCAAGUGACGGUACCUGCAGAAGAAGCGCCGGCUAACUACGUGCCAGCAGCCGCGGUAAUACGUAGGGCGCAAGCGUUGUCCGGAAUUAUUGGGCGUAAAGAGCUCGUAGGCGGUUUGUCGCGUCUGGUGUGAAAACUCGAGGCUCAACCUCGAGCUUGCAUCGGGUACGGGCAGACUAGAGUGCGGUAGGGGAGACUGGAAUUCCUGGUGUAGCGGUGGAAUGCGCAGAUAUCAGGAGGAACACCGAUGGCGAAGGCAGGUCUCUGGGCCGCAACUGACGCUGAGGAGCGAAAGCAUGGGGAGCGAACAGGAUUAGAUACCCUGGUAGUCCAUGCCGUAAACGUUGGGCACUAGGUGUGGGGCUCAUUCCACGAGUUCCGUGCCGCAGCAAACGCAUUAAGUGCCCCGCCUGGGGAGUACGGCCGCAAGGCUAAAACUCAAAGGAAUUGACGGGGGCCCGCACAAGCGGCGGAGCAUGCGGAUUAAUUCGAUGCAACGCGAAGAACCUUACCAAGGCUUGACAUGCACGGGAAGCCACCAGAGAUGGUGGUCUCUUUGGACACUCGUGCACAGGUGGUGCAUGGUUGUCGUCAGCUCGUGUCGUGAGAUGUUGGGUUAAGUCCCGCAACGAGCGCAACCCUCGUCCCAUGUUGCCAGCGGGUUAUGCCGGGGACUCAUGGGAGACUGCCGGGGUCAACUCGGAGGAAGGUGGGGAUGACGUCAAAUCAUCAUGCCCCUUAUGUCUUGGGCUUCACGCAUGCUACAAUGGCCGGUACAAAGGGCUGCGAUACCGUAAGGUGGAGCGAAUCCCAAAAAGCCGGUCUCAGUUCGGAUUGGGGUCUGCAACUCGACCCCAUGAAGUCGGAGUCGCUAGUAAUC